rnacentral:rRNA from 1 species
GAUGAACGCUGGCGGCGUGCUUAACACAUGCAAGUCGAACGGUGAAGCAGGAGCUUGCUCUUGUGGAUCAGUGGCGAACGGGUGAGUAACACGUGAGCAACCUGCCCCUGACUCUGGGAUAAGCGCUGGAAACGGCGUCUAAUACUGGAUAUGUGAUGUGACCGCAUGGUCUGCAUCUGGAAAGAAUUUCGGUUGGGGAUGGGCUCGCGGCCUAUCAGCUUGUUGGUGAGGUAAUGGCUCACUAAGGCGUCGACGGGUAGCCGGCCUGAGAGGGUGGACGGGCACACUGGGACUGAGACACGGCCCAGAGUCCGACGGGAGGCAGCAGUGGGGAAUAUUGCACAAUGGGAGGAAGCCUGAUGCAGCAACGCCGCGUGAGGGAUGACGGCCUUCGGGUUGUAAACCUCUUUUAGCAGGGAAGAAGCGAAAGUGACGGUACCUGCAGAAGAAGCACCGGCUAACUACGUGCCAGCAGCCGCCGUAA